rnacentral:rRNA from 1 species
CCCUUAGAUGGUCUGGGCGGCACGCGCACUACAAUGAUGCAUUCAAAAAGUCUUCUGACCUUAGAAGGUUGGGUAUUCUCCAAAGUGCAUCGUGAUGGGAAUAGUUUAUUGCAAUUUUUAAUCUUGAACGAGGAAUUCCUAGUAAGUACAGGUCAUCAACUUGUGUUGAUUACGUCCCUGCCCUUUGUACACACCGCCCGUCGCUCCUACUGAUUGAGUGUCUCGGUGAAUUCUUUGAUCUUCUGUCGAUUCAGUUCACUGAUCCGACGGUGGAAAGUUGAAUGAACUUCGUCACUUAGAGGAAGGAGAAGUCGUAACA